rnacentral:rRNA from 1 species
AUUGAACGCUGGCGGCAUGCCUUACACAUGCAAGUCGAACGGUAACGGGCCUUCGGGUGCCGACGAGUGGCGAACGGGUGAGUAAUACAUCGGAACGUGCCCGAUCGUGGGGGAUAACGAGGCGAAAGCUUUGCUAAUACCGCAUACGAUCUACGGAUGAAAGCAGGGGACCGCAAGGCCUUGCGCGGACGGAGCGGCCGAUGGCAGAUUAGGUAGUUGGUGGGAUAAAAGCUUACCAAGCCGACGAUCUGUAGCUGGUCUGAGAGGAUGAUCAGCCACACUGGGACUGAGACACGGCCCAGACUCCUACGGGAGGCAGCAGUGGGGAAUUUUGGACAGUGGGCGCAAGCCUGAUCCAGCCAUGCCGCGUGCAGGAUGAAGGCCUUCGGGUUGUAAACUGCUUUUGUACGGAACGAAAAGCCUUCUUUUAAUACAGGAGGGUCAUGACGGUACCGUAAGAAUAAGCACCGGCUAACUACGU